rnacentral:rRNA from 1 species
GGAGCUCUCCCAUAUGGUCGACCUGCAGGCGGCCGCGAAUUCACUAGUGAUUAGAGUUUGAUCCUGGCUCAGGAUGAACGCUGGCGGCGUGCCUAACACAUGCAAGUCGAACGAAGCAAUUAAAAUGAAGUUUUCGGAUGGAUUUUUGAUUGACUGAGUGGCGGACGGGUGAGUAACGCGUGGAUAACCUGCCUCACACUGGGGGAUAACAGUUAGAAAUGACUGCUAAUACCGCAUAAGCGCACAGUACCGCAUGGUACGGUGUGAAAAACUCCGGUGGUGUGAGAUGGAUCCGCGUCUGAUUAGCCAGUUGGCGGGGUAACGGCCCACCAAAGCGACGAUCAGUAGCCGACCUGAGAGGGUGACCGGCCACAUUGGGACUGAGACACGGCCCAAACUCCUACGGGAGGCAGCAGUGGGGAAUAUUGCACAAUGGGCGAAAGCCUGAUGCAGCGACGCCGCGUGAGUGAAGAAGUAUUUCGGUAUGUAAAGCUCUAUCAGCAGGGAAGAAAAUGACGGUACCUGACUAAGAAGCCCCGGCUAACUACGUGCCAGCAGCCGCGGUAAUACGUAGGGGGCAAGCGUUAUCCGGAUUUACUGGGUGUAAAGGGAGCGUAGACGGCGAAGCAAGUCUGAAGUGAAAACCCAGGGCUCAACCCUGGGACUGCUUUGGAAACUGUUUUGCUAGAGUGUCGGAGAGGUAAGUGGAAUUCCUAGUGUAGCGGUGAAAUGCGUAGAUAUUAGGAGGAACACCAGUGGCGAAGGCGGCUUACUGGACGAUAACUGACGUUGAGGCUCGAAAGCGUGGGGAGCAAACAGGAUUAGAUACCCUGNNAGUCCACGCCGUAAACGAUGAAUGCUAGGUGUUGGGGGGGUAAAGCCCUUCNGUGCCGUCGCAAACGCANUAANCAUUCCACCUGGGGNGUACGUUCGCAAGAAUGAAACUCAAAGGAAUUGACGGGGNNCCGCACAAGCGG